rnacentral:rRNA from 1 species
UACACCUACGGGGCGCAGCAGUGAGGAAUAUUGGUCAAUGGGCGGGAGCCUGAACCAGCCAAGUCGCGUGAAGGAAGAAGGUACUUAGUAUUGUAAACUUCUUUUGUCGGGGAACAAAGGCGGAGACGCGUCUCCGGAUGAGUGUACCCGAAGAAAAAGCAUCGGCUAACUCCGUGCCAGCAGCCGCGGUAAUACGGAGGAUGCGAGCGUUAUCCGGAUUUAUUGGGUUUAAAGGGUGCGCAGGCGGAGGUGCAAGUCAGUGGUCAAAUUGCGGGGCUCAA